rnacentral:rRNA from 1 species
GACGAACGCUGGCGGCGUGCUUAACACAUGCAAGUCGAACGGAAAGGCCCUGCUUUUGUGGGGUGCUCGAGUGGCGAACGGGUGAGUAACACGUGAGUAACCUGCCCUUGACUUUGGGAUAACUUCAGGAAACUGGGGCUAAUACCGGAUAGGAUCUCCUGCUGCAGGGAGGGGGUUGGAAAGUUUCGGCGGUUGGGGAUGGACUCGCGGCUUAUGAGCUUGUUGGUGGGGGAGUGGCUUACCAAGGCAUUGGCGGGUAGCCGGCCUGGGAGGGUGACCGGCCACAUGGGGCCUGAGAUAGGGCGCAGACUGCUACGGGAGGCAGCAGUGGGGAAUAUUGCACAGUGGGAGGAAGCCUGAUGCAGCAGCGCCGCGUGCGGGAUGACGGCCUUCGGGUUGUAAACCGCUUUCGCCUGUGACGAAGCGUGAGUGACGGUAAUGGAUAAAGAAGCACCGGCUAACUACGUG